rnacentral:lncRNA from 1 species
UGGUGUCGUCGUAGUCGUUCUUCUCGGAAUCCGCCGACGGUGCUGGUCGCCCGCGCUUCCAGCGAAUUAAUCAAGAAAGAUCAAAAAAGGGGUGCAACACGAGGACUUCCCAGGAGGUCACCCAUCCCAGUACUACUCUCGCCCAAGCACGCUUAACUGCGGAGUUCUGAUGGGAUCCGGUGCUUUAGUGCUGGUAUGAUGGCACCCGUAAAGAUCCACCGACGAAGGUACCAGAUGUUCUGCCGCAUAUAGAUUCACCGACGACGCUCCGGACGACGGUGGGAUCGAUCCCCCCGUCCGUCUAGGACGCGGAGAGGAAGAGGGAGUUCGGAAUCAGGUAGGGAACCCGACGUGACAUUCUCGGGUCGAUCCGGCAGAAUCGGGGACGGAAAUCCGGUCGAAAUCCGCGCAGGUCCCGGGGGUAAAAAUUGUCUGCGCGUGCGUAUCGUUCGGGAACGUCGGGAAACGCGUGCGCAUCGAACAAAGAAAGCGUCAUCGGCAGUGCGGAUGGUGUCGUCGUAGUCGUUCUUCUCGGAAUCCGCCGACGGUGCUGGUCGCCCGCGCUUCCAGCGAAUUAAUCAAGAAAGAUCAAAAAAGGGGUGCAACACGAGGACUUCCCAGGAGGUCACCCAUCCCAGUACUACUCUCGCCCAAGCACGCUUAACUGCGGAGUUCUGAUGGGAUCCGGUGCUUUAGUGCUGGUAUGAUCGCACCCGUAAAGAUCCACCGACGAAGGUACCAGAUGUUCUGCCGCAUAUAGAUUCACCGACGACGCUCCGGACGACGGUGGGAUCGAUCCCCCCGUCCGUCUAGGACGCGGAGAGGAAGAGGGAGUUCGGAAUCAGGUAGGGAACCCGACGUGACAUUCUCGGGUCGAUCCGGCAGAAUCGGGGACGGAAAUCCGGUCGAAAUCCGCGCAGGUCCCGGGGGUAAAAAUUGUUUGCGCGUGCGUAUCGUUCGGGAACGUCGGGAAACGCGUGCGCAUCGAACACGAACAAAGAAAGCGUUAUCGGCAGGGCGGAUGGUGUCGU